AAGAAAGUGACAGAGUGGCUAUGUGGUUGGCUUGAAACUAAUUUAUGGAGGUUCGAUUCCUUCCUUUCUCG
rnacentral:tRNA from 1 species